CAUAGCGACUAUCGUGGCAUAUCAAUAAGCGGAGGAAAAGAAACUAACAAGGAUUCCCCUUAGUCAACGGCGAGUGAAGCGGGAAGAGCUCAAAUUUGAAAUCUUCAAGGGUUCUACCUUGACGAAUUGUAGUUUAAUAGAAGUGUUUUCUGUUAGUAGAGGUGGCUAAAAGUUCUUUGGAAUAGGACAUCAUAGAGGGUGAGAAUCCCGUAUUUGAUCAUUCUUUCUAAGCUUUGUGAUACACUUUCAACGAGUCGGAUUGUUUGGGAAUGCAGUCCAAAAUGGGUGGUAAAUUUCAUCUAAAGCUAAAUAUUGGCGAGAGACCGAUAGCGAACAAGUACCGUGAGGGAAAGAUGAAAAGAACUUUGAAAAGAGAGUUAAACAGUACGUGAAAUUGUCAAAAGGGAAGCGUUUGACACCAGUGUUGUUUUCUCGAAAAUCAAUUAAAAAUGGCCGGAUUUUGUGUUGUAUUGACCUUUAAUCAGCUUUCUUCACUUUUUCUUGUCUUUUUUAAUGCACUUUUCGUUUAACAAGUCAACAUCAGUUUCUUUUGUUGUAAAAGAGUCAUUGGAAGGUGGCUUUCAUUUCGGAUGAAAGUGUUUAUAGCCUUUGAUCUUCUGCAAUCGGAGAGAUUGAGGUCUGCAGCGUAGAUCCUUCGGGGUUAGAUACAUUUGUGCUAAGUUAUAGUUUUUCAUAGACAACAUGUUGACUAUGAUUAGUCAUGUAGGUUACUCGCUUAUGCUAUUUUACCUACGCUUAGGAUGUUGAAGAUAUGCGCGACACG
rnacentral:rRNA from 1 species